UGUACGCUAGCGGCAGGCAUUCACACAUGCAAGUCGAGGGGUAGAACACUUCGGUGUUUGAGACCGGCGCACGGGUGCGUAACGCGUAUGCAAUCUACCUUGUACAGGGGAAUAGCCCAGAGAAAUUUGGAUUAAUGCCCCAUAGUAUAUAACCUUCGCAUGUUGGUUAUAUUAAAGUUCCAACGGUACAAGAUGAGCAUGCGUCCCAUUAGUUAGUUGGUAAGGUAACGGCUUACCAAGACGAUGAUGGGUAGGGGUCCUGAGAGGGAGAUCCCCCACACUGGUACUGAGACACGGACCAGACUCCUACGGGAGGCAGCAGUGAGGAAUAUUGGUCAAUGGUCGCAAGACUGAACCAGCCAUGCCGCGUGCAGGAAGACGGUCCUAUGGAUUGUAAACUGCUUUUAUACAGGAAGAAACCCUCCCACGUGUGGGAGCUUGACGGUACUGUAGGAAUAAGGAUCGGCUAACUCCGUGCCAGCAGCCGCGGUAAUACGGAGGAUCCAAGCGUUAUCCGGAAUCAUUGGGUUUAAAGGGUCCGUAGGCGGUCUUAUAAGUCAGUGGUGAAAGCCCAUCGCUCAACGAUGGAACUGCCAUUGAUACUGUAAGACUUGAAUGCUUAGGAAGUAACUAGAAUAUGUAGUGUAGCGGUGAAAUGCUUAGAUAUUACAUGGAAUACCAAUUGCGAAGGCAGGUUACUACUAAGUGAUUGACGCUGAUGGACGAAAGCGUGGGGAGCGAACAGGAUUAGAUACCCUGGUAGUCCACGCCGUAAACGAUGGAUACUAGCUGUUCGGAGUAAUCUGAGUGGCUAAGCGAAAGUGAUAAGUAUCCCACCUGGGGAGUACGCACGCAAGUGUGAAACUCAAAGGAAUUGACGGAAGGGCGAAUUCCAG
rnacentral:rRNA from 1 species